rnacentral:misc_RNA from 1 species
AGCAGCCGCGGUAAUUCCAGCUCCAAUAGCGUAUAUUAAAGUUGUUGCAGUUAAAAAGCUCGUAGUUGAAUUUCGGGGUUUGUCAGUUGGUCGGGCUUCAUUGUCCGUACUGACUUGAUGGAUUCCUACCUUCUGAAUAACCAGCAUGCUAUUAAGUUAGUGCGUUGGGGAAGCAGAUCUAUUACCUUGAAAAAUUAGAGUGCUUAAAGCAGGCUAGUGCUUGAAUAGAUUAGCAUGGAAUAAUAAAAUAGGACGGCAUGGUUCUAUUUUGUUGGUUUCUAGGAUCACCGUAAUGAUUAAUAGGGAUAGUUGGGGGCAUUAGUAUUCAAUUGUCAGAGGUGAAAUUCUUGGAUUUAUUGAAGACUAACUUCUGCGAAAGCAUUUGCCAAGGAUGUUUUCAUUAAUCAAGAACGAAAGUUAGGGGAUCGAAGACGAUCAGAUACCGUCGUAGUCUUAACCAUAAACUAUGCCGACUAGGAAUCGGACGAUGUUAAUUUUUAAUGACUCGUUCGGCUACCG